GUUCAGGGUGUACCCCGCCUCCUGCCCGAUGACAGCUGGGAUAGGCUCCAGCACGCCCGCGACCCUAGUGAGGAGAAGCGGCUCAGAAAAUGGAUGGAAAUAAAUAAGGUAUAAGUAUUGUCUGUAUACAUAGGUUUGCACUCGAUAUUCUGGAAGAUAAAUUAACACGUGUGCAGGCGGAUGUGAUCAUGCCAGGGUUGCGUCGUGGCUUUCUACUUCCGGGUUGGUGGAGCAAACCAGCCGCGCCUCAGCGUGCCCGGGGGAAGCACCCUGAAAAUAAUGAUGUGGUUCUGUUGGCUUCAUCAAGCCGUGACCUCCAACUCUCACUGGAGCAGUUCGCAGCCGAGUGUGAAGCGGCUGGGAUGAGAAUCAGCACCUCCAAAUCUGAGACCAUGGUCCUCAGUCGGAAAAGGGUGGCGUGCCCUCUUCAGGUCGGGGAUGAGAUCCUGCCCCAAGUGGAGGAGUUCAAGUAUCUUGGGGUCUUGUUCACGAGUGAGGGAAGAAUGGAACGGGAGAUCGACAGGCGGAUCGGUGCAGCGUCUGCAGCGAUGCGGACUUUGUAUCUAUCUAUUGUGGUGAAGAAGGAGCUAAGCCGAAAGGCGAAGCUCUCGAUUUACCGGUCGAUCUACGUUCCUACCCUCACCUAUGGGCACGAGCUGUGGGUAGUGACCGAAAGAACAAGAUCCAGGAUACAAUCGGCCGAAAUGAGUUUCCUCCUGCAGGGUGUCCGGGCUCUCCCUUAGAGAUAGGGUGAGAAGCUCGGUCAUUCGAGAGGAUCUCAGAGUAGAGCCGCUGCUCCUUCACAUCGAGAGAAGCCAGAUGAGGUGGCUGGGGCAUCUGAUUCGGAUGCCUCCCGGACGCCUCCCUGGUGAGGUGUUCCGGGCACGUCCCACGGGGACGACCCAGGACACGCUGGAGAGACUACAUCCUUCGGCUGGCCUGGGAACGCCUCGGGAUCCCCCCGGAAGAGCUGGAUGAAGUGGCUGGGGAGAGGGAAGUCUGGGCGUCCCUGCUAAAGCUACUGCCCCCGCGACCCGACCUCGAAUAAGCGGUGGAAGAUGGAUGGAUGGAUGGAUUACAACUGUGCGAUGCAAAGAAUAGACCGAUCUACACGUGGACGACCCCCACAAACGGUAUAGAGAAAUUAUCUGACAUUUUAUUAAAGAUCUGACCUUAAGGGACAUUUGGAGGGAUCGCAGUCCACAACGGUCAAUGUUUUCAUGUUAUUCCAGUCCAUUCAAUUUAUACUCACGAAUUGAUUACUUUCUAAUUUUGGCGAGCUUGAUGAAUAAAGGAUUGUAAUUAUGACAGUAUUUUGAUCUCGAACCAUGCCCCUAGCAAUUUGAUCUAUGUGGAUUCAGACCUACGGUGAGACCCCCAAAAUGGAAAUUACAGCCCUACUGGCUCCAGAAUCUGGAUCUGGUGAAACAAAUUGAUUUGUAUUUCAUGCUGAAUACUAAUGAAACCUCAGCAAGCACAAGGUGGGAAGCCUUCAAGGCCUUUAUUAGAGGACAAGUUAUUAAUUUUAUGAGUUCAAAAUCUAAAAAGGUUAGACAAAAAUUGACAUCAUUGGAAUAAAAAUUUUGGAGGAAGCCUAUUUUAAGAAACCAUGUUCAACUGUACAUCAAGAAAUUUUACUCCUACGCUUGCAGUAUAAUGAGGUUUCUGCCUCCAAAACAGCAGCUACCGUAAAGUCUCGUGUAUAAUGCGUAUCCCCCCCCCCCCCAAAAAAAAAGUCAAAACUCAAUACAUACAGUGUAUUAUACAUACAGUAGGUAUAGGGGAAAAUGGAAAAAACUUUCACAUUUUAUUCAUUGGCGGCACGGUGGACGACUGGUUAGAGCAUCAGCCUCACAGUUCUGAGGACCGGGGUUCAAUCCCCGGCCCUGUCUGUGUGGAGUUUGCAUGUUCUCCCCCUGCCUGCGUGGGAUUUCUCCGGGCACUCCGGUUUCCUCCCACAUCCCAAAAACAUGCAUGAAUUGGACUCUAAAUUGCCCGUAGGUGUGAAGGUGAGUGCGAAUGGUUGUUUGUUUAUAUGUGCCCUGCGAUUGGCUGGCAACCAGUUCAGGGUGUUCCCCGCCUCCUGUCCGUUGAUAGCUGGGAUAGGCUCCAGCACGCCCGCGACCCUAGUGAGGAGAAGAAAAUGAAUGGAUGGAUGGAUUUUAUUCAAGUAUGCCGCCAUCCAGAGAAUAUGAAAAAGCUGUACACUUUCAUUCCAAUCUGCCACCGCCACCUAGAGGUUAUGAGAAUGGUGUACACUUUCUUUCUAAUAUGCCAACGCCACCAAAAGGAUAAAGGUGUAGCCUACACUUUCAUUACAAUAUGACAGGGGUACGUAUGACUGCAUAUAUGUACAGUUGUGCUCAUAAGUUUACAAACCCUGGCAGAAUUUGUGAAGUAUUGUUUUUUUAAAUACGACUGAUGACUGAACAACAACCAUCAUUAAUGGCUUUAUGGUUAUGUUUUGUUUAAUGAUGAUGGUUUUCUGAAAUGCUUGACAGUAUAAUUUGAAUCCCAUGAAAAUAAAAUUAUGUGUUUCACCUUG